AAAAGAUAACUUCUCUUCUUUAUUUUUCUCCAUCUUCUUCUUCUUCUUCUUCUUGUUCUUGUUCUUGUUCUUCUUCUUCCACUUCUUCUUCUUGUUCUUCUUCUUCUUCUUCUUCUUCUUCUUCUUCUUCUUCUUCUUCCACUUCUUCUUCUAAUUGCUUAGCUUAAUUUAGAUAACUUAUUUCUUAUUGUAUUCUUCUUCUAACUUCUUUUUCAUUAUGCAGAUUUUGAU
rnacentral:lncRNA from 1 species